ACAAGCAAUGGAUUGUCAUAAAUAAACGAUCUACUGCCGUUCUCCACUGGGCCAUACCAAAACAUGAACAAAAAAUGCUACGAUCAAGCAGUAGCAAGUCAGAGAUAAUAAAACUGAAACAAAGUAAGCUUUCACCUAAAAUUGGUUCACAAUAUUGUUCAUACAAUUCCAUCCUAGAAAAGUUUAGGAACUAUGAAA